GACGAACGCUGGCGGCGUGCCUAAUACAUGCAAGUCGAACGCUUUUUCUUUCACCGGAGCUUGCUCCACCGAAAGAAAAAGAGUGGCGAACGGGUGAGUAACACGUGGGUAACCUGCCCAUCAGAAGGGGAUAACACUUGGAAACAGGUGCUAAUACCGUAUAACACUAUUUUCCGCAUGGAAGAAAGUUGAAAGGCGCUUUUGCGUCACUGAUGGAUGGACCCGCGGUGCAUUAGCUAGUUGGUGAGGUAACGGCUCACCAAGGCAACGAUGCAUAGCCGACCUGAGAGGAGGAUCGGCCACACUGGGACUGCGACACGGCCCAGACUCCUACGGGAGGCAGCAGUAGGGAAUCUUCGGCAACGGACGAAAGUCUGACCGAGCAACGCCGCGUGAGUGAAGAAGGUUUUCGAAUCGUAAAACUCUGUUGUUAGAGAAGAACAAGGAUGAGUGUAGAACGUUCAUCCCUUGACGGUAUCUAACCAGAAAGCCACGGCUAACUACGUGCCAGCCGCCGCCGUAA
rnacentral:rRNA from 1 species